CUUUUUCUCUUUUAUUUCAUGCUAAUUAUGACAUAACAAUUUGGUAAAUUAUACCUUUGUAAGCAAAAUUGAAACAUUUAUCUUUUUCUCCCUAUUUUAUCCCUCUAGGAUUUGGAAACUUAAUCAAAAUGACUUAUGUUAGUAACUCAGGGAAGGUUGAGACCAACAUCUGGGAAAUCUAUGAACAAGCAUCCUGCCUUCACUGAUAUAACCAAGGAACAGACCCCAAUCAGGCUCCAACAAUUCCAUAUUAAACUGACGGUCAUCCAAGGAUUCUAGCCACUUCCAACGGCUGACCCACCUGGUCCUCAUUCUCAUUCCUACUGGACCCUUCUAAAUACUAGCUAAAAAAUACUUUUACUCCUCCUGGAUAUAGGGCCUCCUUCUCAAGCCCUGUCAGCAGGAAGUAGCUUCAGAAGAAGAGACCUUUGCCCAGGAUCCUUAAGAUUAAGGAGGAUAAAAUCUCUCAGGGGGGAAUGAGACAGGAACCAGGCUAAUGAGACGGGCUGCAAGGCCCCUGGCCAAAAAAGAUAAGGCCCCUAAACAGUCAGCA
rnacentral:lncRNA from 1 species